rnacentral:tRNA from 1 species
AGCUUCGAGGUGUUACCACGUCGGAUUGCAAAUCCGAAAUAGCAGGUUAGCCCCUGCCGGGGCUU